rnacentral:rRNA from 1 species
UACGUAGGGUGCAAGCGUUAAUCGGAAUUACUGGGCGUAAAGCGCACGUAGGCGGCGUCGUAAGUCAGGGGUGAAAUCCCGGAGCUCAACUCCGGAACUGCCCUUGAAACUGCAAUGCUAGAAUCUUGGAGAGGCGAGUGGAAUUCCGAGUGUAGAGGUGAAAUUCGUAGAUAUUCGGAAGAACACCAGUGGCGAAGGCGACUCGCUGGACAAGUAUUGACGCUGAGGUGCGAAAGCGUGGGGAGCAAACAGG